rnacentral:rRNA from 1 species
CACGGGGGGAGCAAGCGUUGUUCGGAAUCACUGGGCGUAAAGGGCGUGUAGGCGGUCAGGUAAGUGGAAUGUGAAAUCCCUCGGCUCACCCGAGGACCUGCAUCCCAAACUGCCUGGCUUGAGUAUGGGAGAGGAUGAGGGAAUUCCUGGUGUAGCGGUGAAAUGCGUAGAUAUCAGGAGGAACACCGGUGGCGAAGGCGCUCAUCUGGCCCAAUACUGACGCUGAGGCGCGAAAGCUAGGGGAGCAAACGGG